rnacentral:rRNA from 1 species
UACGUAGGGUGCAAGCGUUUGUCCGGAAUUAUUGGGCGUAAAGGGCUCGUAGGCGGUCUGUCACGUCGGGAGUGAAAACUCGGGGCUUAACCCCGAGCCUGCUUCCGAUACGGGCAGACUAGAGGUAUGCAGGGGAGAAUGGAAUUCCUGGUGUAGCGGUGAAAUGCGCAGAUAUCAGGAGGAACACCGGUGGCGAAGGCGGUUCUCUGGGCAUUACCUGACGCUGAGGAGCGAAAGUGUGGGGAGCGAACAGG